AUUGAACGCUGGCGGCAUGCUUUACACAUGCAAGUCGAACGGUAACAGGGAGCUUGCUCCGCUGACGAGUGGCGAACGGGUGAGUAAUGCAUCGGAACGUACCCAGCCGUGGGGGAUAACGUAGCGAAAGUUACGCUAAUACCGCAUACGUCCUGAGGGAGAAAGCGGGGGACCGUAAGGCCUCGCGCGAUUGGAGCGGCCGAUGUCGGAUUAGCUAGUUGGUGGGGUAAAGGCCUACCAAGGCGACGAUCCGUAGCGGGUCUGAGAGGAUGAUCCGCCACACUGGGACUGAGACACGGCCCAGACUCCUACGGGAGGCAGCAGUGGGGAAUUUUGGACAAUGGGGGCAACCCUGAUCCAGCCAUGCCGCGUGAGUGAAGAAGGCCUUCGGGUUGUAAAGCUCUUUCAGACGGAAAGAAAACGCAAUCGGUGAAUACCCGGUGUGGAUGACGGUACCGUAAGAAGAAGCACCGGCUAACUACGUGCCAGCAGCCGCGGUAAUCUCGUCUCUACG
rnacentral:rRNA from 1 species